GUACUGCCAGACUUGGAACCGGGAGAGGUAAGAGGUACGUACAGGGGUAGGAGGUGAAAGUACUUGUAAUCCCUGUGGGACCGACCUCGUGGCGAAGGCGUCUUACCAGAACGGGUUCGACGGUGAGGGACGAAAGCUGGGGGCGACGAACCGGAUUAGAUACCCGGGUAGUCCCAGCCGUAAACGAUGCUCGCUAGGUGUCAGGCAUGGCGCGACCGUGUCUGGUGCCGCAGGGAAGCCGUGAAGCGAGCCACCUGGGAAGUACGGCCGCAAGGCUGAAACUUAAAGGAAUUGGCGGGGGAGCACAACAACGGGUGGAGCCCUGCGGUUUAAUUGGACUCAACGCCGGACAACUCACCGGGGGCGACAGCAAUAUGUAGGCCAAGCUGAAGACUUUGCCUGAAUCGCUGAGUAGAGGUGCAUGG
rnacentral:rRNA from 1 species